GAUGAACGCUGGCGGCGUGCCUAAUACAUGCAAGUCGAACGAACGGACGAGAAGCUUGCUUCUCUGAUGUUAGCGGCGGACGGGUGAGUAACACGUGGAUAACCUACCUAUAAGACUGGGAUAACUUCGGGAAACCGGAGCUAAUACCGGAUAAUAUUUUGAACCGCAUGGUUCAAAAGUGAAAGACGGUCUUGCUGUCACUUAUAGAUGGAUCCGCGCUGCAUUAGCUAGUUGGUAAGGUAACGGCUUACCAAGGCAACGAUGCAUAGCCGACCUGAGAGGGUGAUCGGCCACACUGGAACUGAGACACGGUCCAGACUCCUACGGGAGGCAGCAGUAGGGAAUCUUCCGCAAUGGGCGAAAGCCUGACGGAGCAACGCCGCGUGAGUGAUGAAGGUCUUCGGAUCGUAAAACUCUGUUAUUAGGGAAGAACAUAUGUGUAAGUAACUGUGCUCAUCUUGACGGUACCUAAUCAGAAAGCCACGGCUAACUACGUG
rnacentral:rRNA from 1 species